rnacentral:rRNA from 1 species
GACCUCGGAUCAGGCGUGAUUACCCGCUGAACUUAAGCAUAUCACUAAGCGGAGGAAAAGAAACUAACCA